CAGUCGCCGCGGUAAUACGUAGGCAGCGAGCGUUGUUCGGAAUUACUGGGCGUAAAGAGUGUGUAGGCGGUGCUCUAAGUUCGGUGUGAAAUCUCCCGGCUUAACUGGGAGGGUGCGCCGGAAACUGGAAUGCUCGAACGUGGGAGAGGAAAGCGGAAUUCCUGGUGUAGCGGUGAAAUGCGUAGAUAUCAGGAGGAACACCUGCGGUGUAGACGGCUUUCUGGACCAUUGUUGACGCUGAGACACGAAAGCGUGGGUAGCAAACAGGAUUAGAUACCCGGGUAGUCCCUGUCUCUUAUAU
rnacentral:rRNA from 1 species